UCAGUAAUGUAAGAAAUGAUGACGCAUUCACCGAGAUUCGUAUGUAUAUGCGCGCUUCGUGAAGCACGUACGAGGUUCUCUCUCGAUGUGUCAUUCCUUAUGAAUAACAUUAUACGUCAUUCCUUCCACUGCAGCUUUAUAUUGCUCACGUCUCAUUUCUGGCAUCACUGCUCCAGUCCGUGGAAUUCGUGUUGAUCGUGCAACAAGUAUUGCGUACCGUUGCGUUUUUCGCGUACGUUUGGUAUCGAUAAACAGCUGCGUCUGUUGAUAGUGUGAUUAGCACGGAUAUACAUCUCAAACUGUAAUAUCGAUAAACGAAUGUGACUACGUACUAGUCACUUGAUAAAGUUGACGCAAGAUGUCGCCACAACUAUGAUAUUGCGAUUUUCGCGGGUUAUUCAUUAUGGCGGAUAAUGUAACUAGAAUGCAGACGUCUCUUGCGCAAGAGGCGUCUGCAUUCUGGCAUCAUUAAUGGCGGAGGCGAGUCUCUUCGAUCCGUGGAGUUCGUGUUGAUCGUGCAACAGGUGUUGCGUACCGUUGUGUUUUUCGCGUACGUUUGGUGUCGAUAAGCAGUCGCGUCUGCUGAUAGUGCGGUGUGCGUGUGUUGCUUCUUGUGUGUUCGACGUAUCUCAGAGUUUCGGAGAAGGAUCGACAACUGCAGACACAUGGGCGCCGAGAAUUUUUCUUCCGGGUCCCUCGUCUUCGCGGGAAAGAAGUGUGAUUGCGCGCCGCGUAGGAUUCAAGUUUUCUGGUGAUGUUGCGUAUUCAAAAUGUUAAGAUAAGAACGUGAAUAUCUGAUAAAUUUUUUGCAAGUGACAUACGUGAAGCAUGUAUAUGUUU
rnacentral:lncRNA from 1 species